CAGUCUACUCAAGCAAAAUAAAACUUUCAGUUUGCCAUCCCGAAACUAAGUGAGCUACUUCAGAACAGUCCUAUGGGACCAACCCAUCUCUGUUGCAAAAGAGUGGGAAGAUUCUUAAGUAGAGGUGAUAAGCCUACCGAACUUAGAGAUAGCUGGUUGUUCAGGAAAAGAGUUUUAGCUCUACCUUAAGCUCUCUCUAUCAGACUAAAGAAACCCCAAAGCUUAAGAGCUAUUCAAAUAAGGCACAGCUUAUUUGAAACAGGAAACAACCUCCAACACCGGGUAAAUAAUAGUAAUCUAAAUAAAGUGG
rnacentral:rRNA from 1 species